GACGAACGCUGGCGGCGUGCUUAACACAUGCAAGUCGAACGGAAAGGCCCUUCGGGGUACUCGAGUGGCGAACGGGUGAGUAACACGUGGGUGAUCUGCCCUGCACUUUGGGAUAAGCCUGGGAAACUGGGUCUAAUACCGAAUACACCCUUCUGGCUGCAUGGUCUGGGAGGGGAAAGCUUUUGCGGUGUGGGAUGGGCCCGCGGCCUAUCAGCUUGUUGGUGAGGUUACGGCUCACCAAGGCGACGACGGGUAGCCGGCCUGAGAGGGUGACCGGCCACACUGGGACUGAGAUACGGCCCAGACUCCUACGGGAGGCAGCAGUGGGGAAUAUUGCACAAUGGGCGCAAGCCUGAUGCAGCGACGCCGCGUGAGGGAUGACGGCCUUCGGGUUGUAAACCUCUUUCGCCAGGGACGAAGCGCAAGUGACGGUACCUGGAGAAGAAGGACCGGCCAACUACGUGCCAGCCGCCGCGGUAA
rnacentral:rRNA from 1 species